rnacentral:lncRNA from 1 species
GUUGGGAGAGUCCAUUGGAGAGAAGAGGAUGAGUCUUUUGGGAAGGUUGGUGGCGAUUUUGAUGAGAAAAUGAAAAGGUAUAUGUGUAGGGUAGUUGAAGUGUUUUGGUUGGUGGUAGGAGGAAUAAAAUAAUAUAUUGGAAUUGAAUAAUAUUUUUUAAAAUUUAAAAAAAUUAAAAUAUAUUAGUUGAGUUGUUUGGUUUAGCUUUUCUUCUUUGGGUCUCUCUUCUUCAACGUCCUCACAGCACAGGUUUGCGAUAACCUUAUCAUGCAGGUAAUCUCUUAACUUUUCAUUGUUUGGUUCUUCCUCAACCCCAAAAUUGGAUCCAUUUAUUAGUUUCAAGAAACUCUCUACCUGGGUUUUGUAGACAAAUUUGUAUCACUCUGCCUAAUUCAUGUUAUUUAAAGAUCAGUUUAACUUGUUCAUCUUCUAGCUUGUUAUGCCAGAACUGAAACAAAUUGAUAACAGAUUUGUAUGUCAUUACAUAUACAGAAUUGAGAAUGCUUGGUUGAGUGUUCUGUGGAUUGGUUCCCUAGUAAACAAUUUGGAGCCUCUUUAGGAGUAUCUAUGAUACCCUGCAUCAUGAACAUUUUUUAGUUGAGUUAUAUAUAUCAUUAUGCUUCAAUUUUUUUAAUUUCAAGGAUUUUGGUGGCAUUUAUAACGUGUUGUUGCAAGUAUUGAUUGAGGUUUUGCUUAUUGUGGUGUAUUUCUGCAUUGGGAUUUGAAAAGGAAAGAAUUUCAAUCCAAGGAAGUUGAAUUGACAGGAAGGGAAAGCUCUGCAAUGGGAUUUCUUCUUGGCUCUUUGAUAUUUGAGUUCCCUUAGUUGAUAUUUGCUGAGAUUCGAGCACUUCCCUUCUCAGAGGUCUUUCUUUUAAAUCAAUUGAUGGGUUAUUCAUGCAAUUGUGGAACUCUUGCUGGUGUUGACAAAUUUUGAUGAUAUGUUCAGUCCCUGUAAUUUUUUUGCUUAUGCUUUGAACCAUUCAUAAGAACAAUGGCAUUCAUAUGCAUGCAUGGUUUUUCCUCGUGGUAAAUGGAUUUGGAAGCAAUGUGUACAAAAUCUAAGCAUCUAAAAUAUUUUAUUCCACUUGUCUUGAAAUUUGAGUUUUGUUGAUAAAGAUGAUUCGUUGUAUGUUUCAAAAUGUUUAGGAGAAGAAGGUUGAUAAGGAGUCUUGUAAUAGUUACCUUGUUCAAGGGAAGUUAUUUCAUUUUAUUGAUUUGUCCUCCCAUAAGAAGUAGUGAGAUAAUGAUCUCUUAUAGAAAUUUAUACAGUGAAGUUGUAGUUCCACCAUUAGUAACUUGAUGGACAAAUUCCUCCAUAAUUGUAUAGUCAUAAAAUUCCACUA